rnacentral:lncRNA from 1 species
AAUUAAAAUUCCAGCAAUUACAGAGAUGUUGAUAAGCCACAAUUAUGCUAGAACUCAAACGGAACCGUCGUGUCGCACUUCGAUAAUGCAGUAGCUAGAUCGAACAUGAACCACGGACUCGACUUUGAACGACAACUCCAAGCGAACUCCGGGGACAAAUUUGAACCACCCUCAAACUUCGAUCAAAUUUUCAGUCGUAAUGUUUCUGAUUUUUGAAGCAGAAUUCAAACUAGAAGAAUUUAAUUUUUUUUUUGUUCUUUUAUAUUGGAAAAUGAAAAAAACAGAAUCAAAGACUACUCAAAGAAGAACUCUAAUUUUCGAAUGGAUUGAGAUUAGAAGAACCACCAAAAAUCCGGAAAAUCCUAGUUCUUUCUCACUUUUUUCCUCUUCAAUUUUCCGUCCAGACCCUCGAAUAUAUAGCCAACCUAGAAGCUUAUAUCCUUGUCUUCCAAGAAAACCGAAAAUCCACAUAAUUCUCAGAAAAUUAAAACAAAAAAUCGGAUAAUCUCUUCUCUUGGCGAGAUAAGAGAAAUGGCAGGAGUAGAUCAAGUGUAACUCAAUACUACGCACCCCAUUUUUCCUAUUUUCGCCUAAAAGAGUAAUCCAAAAAAAAUAAAAAUAGGGAGAAAACGCGUAGUAUCAAACCCUAAUGAUGAGGGGGGAUCAUGAAGGAACCAUGUGAGUUAACUUGGCCGAUUUGCUGAGUUCGUUGGAGGAGAAAGGGACGCGGGCAGAGGGUUAGGAGGAGAGGGAAGGUGUGGGGCGGCUAGACUUUAGGUUUAGGGUUUGGGGAAGAUUAAGGUUUUAUAUGAUGGUGAUGAUAUAUGUAGACCAUUGGAUUAAAUCCAAUCAAAGGCUAGGAUUUACACUAGAGGAUGGGGCGGGUCAUGGGUUGAUCCGACGUGUCAAAGGGUUGGGUUGAGGAAGGGAUUGGGCUGCCCGAUUUUGGCUUCUACUUAUGUAAAAAUUAGGCCAAAUUUUGCACUUCUUCAAUUUUUAAAAGUCAAUAAAAUAACCAAUCCCAUCUUUUAAAUUAAAACUAAACUAAAUUCAAUUAAUUAAAUAAACUAUGUGAAUAUAUGAAACUAUAUAUUUUUUUUAAUUUAUUAUGUUUUUAUAUAAAUUAAAAAUAAGAGUAAAAAUAAUAGUAAAACAAGAUACAUUGCUAUAAAAAUCUUAAUAACCAAAACUAGAUAGAAAUAAGGUAAAGCAUGAAACUAUAUAGAUAUUUAUAUUUUAGUUUUUGUGCUUAAAAAAAUAGAAUUAAAAUUAGUAAUAAAGUAAAUCUUAUAGAAAUAAACCCAAAUAAAUAUCCCAAAAAAUAAGUAAAUAUUUUUUUAAAAUGCUAUUUUUAAAAGUUGCGCGGAUCGAAAAAUUGCAUGCUUACAGCUGCCCCUCUGUGCUUGGAAACACGAAGAGUUUUCGAAGCAAAGAACAAUAAGCAAUGUAAUUGCCCGACGCUUAAUCCUCUAAAGCUUUAUUUAUUAGAAAAUUAGUCAUGGCUUAAACCAAAAGAAAUUUCAGGACAAUAAUUCAUUCUCAAAAAUAUCAAAAGAUGUGACUAAAAGUAGGAUUAUGAGCCUCAUUUUACCUAUUUAUUCUGUAAACCAUACCAAAAUAAUGCACGAAGUAAGGGAGAUAUCUAUAACUAAACUAAACUCAUCACCACUGUUUAAGUUUUCAUAAACGACUCACAAACUCAAACAUCUAGCAUUAAAAUUCAAAUAGAACUAAGCUCAAGCUACAAGGAACGAAUCGAAAGAGAGUUUGCAUUGAAACAUUGAUUAUUUGCGCACUAAUGACUUUUCCUUGUCGAAGGAAUUUAUCAAAAAAACAGAACUUAUUUUACCAACAAUGUAACAUAUAUCACUGGUUCAUGCCUAGUUUAACGAUCACAAAGUCGAGCAAAUCUUUCAUUUUCAAACCAAGAGAAUCAAAGCUCAAAUAAUGUUUUAAACACAUAAUAAUAGCUGAGAGCAUAUGAAGCAUAGAAAGUAUUCAAUCCAAUUAGUUCCUAUGAACUUUGGCUAAGCCACAUUAUGUUAAUACUCAAUUAAGAACCAAAUAAGUUAGGUGUUCGCGAAUACCAAUUAAUUAAGGCUCAAAUCAUGUGUAAAUCCAAUCCAAAAUCAGAAAAUAGGAGGAGAAUGAACGAACCUUUAAUUAAAAUUCCAGCAAUUACAGAGAUGUUGAUAAGCCACAAAUAUGCUAGAAACUCAAACGGAACCGGCGUGUCGCACUUCAAAAAUGCAGCAACACGGACUCGACUUCGAACGACAAAUUCGAGCCACCCUCGAACUUCGAUCAAAUUUUCUGUCGUAAUGUUUCCGAUUUUUGAAGCAGAAUUCAAAGUAGAAGAAUUUAAUUUUUUUUUGUUCUUUUAUAUAGGAAAAUGAAAAAACAGAAUCAAGAAGAACUUUAAUUUUCGAAUGGAUUGAAAUUAGAAUAACCACCAAAAAUCCGAAAAACCCUAGUUCUUUCUCACUCUCUUCCUCUUCAAUUUUACAUCCAGACCCUCCAAUAUAAAGCCAACCUAGAAGCUUCUAUCCUUGUCUUCCAAGAAAACCGAAAUCCACCAAAUUCUCAGAGAAUUAAAACCUAAAAUCGGAUAAUCUCUUCUCUUGGCAAGAUAAGAGAAAUAGAGGGAGUAGAUCAAGUGUAACUCAAUCCUACGCACCCCAUUUUUUCUAUUUUCGCCUAAAAGAGUAAUCCAAAAAAUGAAAAUAGGGAGAAAACACGUAAAAUCAAUCCCUAAUGAUGAGGGGGGACCAUGAGGGGACCAUGUGAGUUAACUCGGCCGAUUUUAUGGGUUUUCUGGCGAGUUGGAGGGGCAUCGGACGCGCGCAGAGGGUUUGCAGGAGAGGGAAGGAGUGGGGCGGCUAGACUUUAGGUUUAGGGUUUGGGGA